UAGCCGCCCACUCUCCAUGAAAUCUCUCGUCGUUUAUUUUUCGCCCACUCUCCUAUCUGAGACGGUCUCACCCGCUCCCCAGAUUUCUGUCUCUCUGAAUGAGGGCGAAGCUGGCCUCCAUGGGUGGUGAUGACCAAGGGAGAUUGAAGCAUUUGGAGAAUGCUGAGAGUCUGUUGAUACUCAAUUAAAUAAAUAAGGUGACACCACCUCAUUGUCAUCUGAGCUUCAAAAACAUUGUGAGUGGAGGUAUGCUCUUCUCCUCUAAUUUAAAUGGUUACUGCACUGGGAAUUUCCUUUGUGUCAUUGUGUUAGCAUAGAAUAUCAUUUCGAUCUAUUGCCUUUUACUUCAGCAGCUUUACAUAAUGCAUGAUUAUUGCUAGGUUUGGUUACUGUAUUACUUUGUGAGCUACCAUUUGCAUAAUCAAUUACAAUAUAUUUGCAAUUGGUUAUCUUUAAUACUCUACUUUUAGUAUUCUAUUAGACUUUAUUGGUUACUAUUAUCAUCUUUAAUUGAGCUCAGAUCAAUGAACACUACAAAAAAGAAUUGCAAUGGCUACCCCUAGCUAGCGUCGGCACUGAUUUGCCGUCGCUAUUGGUUCAAUUUUUGCUUCGGCAAAUCAUGCAGUGGCCAAAAUUACUACGGCAAAGCAUGCCGUCGUCAAAGAUCCGAUAUUUGCUUCGGAAAAAUGUGCGGUCGCCCAAAAUUACUUCAGCAAUAGAACACCGUCGCAAUAAUUGGCGACUACUUAUGGUUUCCGUAGCCUUAAGCACCAGCCCUAGAUAUUAUAUUUGACAAGGAAAAAAACAGACAUCGAUCAAUUUACUUAACUCUUGUGAGCCCUCUCAUUCUCUUUCUCAAUCUCGCCGUCGAUUUCAAUAAUCUUGAGAAGCCACCACCACCACCAAGAUCUCUCUCACUAUAGCCGCCGGUCUCGGGAUCUCUCUCACUAUCGCUGCCGGUGUCAGUGCCAAGAAAGAUAAAGAGCCUCCUUCUUCUAUUGGAGAUGCCUCCGAUAGGGUCAUUCAAUGACCAGUGGUAGAUUAACUGAAGCUGUGGAAGAGUGCCUAAAGGCAAUCAAAUGUGAACCAUCGUGUUCUCAUGCCCAUUAUAGGCUUGGAACUCUUUAUUCUAGGUUUGGUCAAGUUAAUGAUGCAAGUUGGCAUUUUGAGUUAUCUGGGAAGAAUAUUGGCUCAGAAAUUAGGCAGCGUCUAUUACGUAUUGAAGCUCACUAUGUAAAUACUAACAAGGCGAGGAAGGUUAAAGAUUGGGAUGGGGUUUUGAGAGAAAGCACUUUAUGUAUUGAAGCUGGAGUAGAUGCAUCAAACCAGUUGGUUGCUUUAAAAGUUGAGGCCCUAUUUAAGCUUCGAAGGGUAGAUGAAGCUUUUGAAUUAGUAAAUGCUGCAAGUCAUUCGAUCAGAAGAAAGUAGUCACAAAACCUUGCAAGGGGACAGUAUGCUUGCUGAUAAUUGAAAAUAAACUCAAUUUGUAUCUUGGAAGGUAAAUUGCGCUUUACUUAAUUAGAUUAGGGUUCAUUGUCCUAAUAUAAGAUUCUAAAUUGUGGAUUGUCACAUAAUAUAUGGCCAAAGUACACUAUAUCCCACCCCUGUUCUGGCCUUUUGGGUCAUUUUCAGUUUACCCUUUUUCCUUUUCAUUUAAACACAUUGCAUUCUUAUCACACCUCAGUCACUUUGAUUGCCUGAAAGUGAACUACCAAUAUUACAUUACACUUUGAAACCCAAGCUUCCUGAAUUAAUAGCCAAAGUGACUGAAGUACAAAAUUGUUCAAUUUUGAAACAGUAGUAUGUUUGCAAUGUGUUGAAAAACUAGAAAGUUGUGAAAUGAAAGCAAUCUUAAGAUAGAGGGUAGUAAAAUGUAAUUAGCCCUAAAUAUAUUAAUAAAAUCUAGAAAUACAUAAUGCUAUUGCCUUAUAUUUGUCAAAUAGCUUUGUGUUUAAUUAAGUCAAUAUCAAGAUGUCUAUCUUCUAGGUAGAGCUAGACCACUGGGACUAGAUCUCCUCAAGAUAAGUGAUUCUUCUUGUUCUCCAAAUAAGAAAUGUAGGAUCUAUGUCAAUAUCAUUGUAUUGACAUGCUGUGUAAUUUCUGUUUUUCAAACACAUAUGCCAUGGAUUUAUAGGUUAUUGGUUUAAUUGUAAAAGAAUAUGAUGUCGUGCAUUGAUGUUGAUUCAUAUUUUACUUGUAAUCCAUUUACAGUACACACCCAUGCUUUUUAUGUGGGGUUAUACUGCUCGCAUUUAUCCUAUAGCAGAAUUAUUUUGGCUUGGCUCGAUUGCUUUAUUUCCUGAUAUCUCUCUUUAAUGGCUAAGGGAACAUGGAUGUUGUAGUUAUAGCUGCAGAAUUAUGUCUUUUGUUCUCAUCCUUUUUUUUCUUGUUUGUUUCAUUUUACAUCAAUUAUUACUUGAGGUAUUCCCUGUUUUGCUGUGUAAUUUCUGUUUUAAGUAUAUUAGGAUAUAGCUAGUCUUUUCAAUUUAAUUCUAUAUGCAAUCUGAUUGAGAUUUUUUACAGGUAAAGAAGUAUUCAAUUUGCUAAAACUUCAGUAUCUGUAAGUGUACUCAAGUAUGUGUGAGUGAUUUCCUGUAUGUAAUUAAACUUAAAAAUAUAAAGUUUCAGUCUUUUCAAACUCUUAAACAAUCAUGUACCUAUAGUUUACCCUUAUAUCACCUCAAAGCACCUUCUAAUCUACCUUAUUUAAAAUGGUAUGUUUUCUAGGAUAUUGUUUUAAACUGCUGUUUAUCUGUAGUGUUUAAACUGCUCAUCCUCAUGAACUUGGGUCUCAUUCAUUUUUCGUGUUCCUUCAGAAUUACUCAUGUUUCUUGUUUAUGGUUUAACUACAGCUCCAACAUUUGAACUAGCACUGUGAAACCUCUUGGCUUUCAAUUUUGGUGUAUGUAGUUUGUUUUUGUUCGUUGCCUUAUGUUGUUCCCUGAUUGCACACUUUGCAGGUAUUUCAAAGGUCCUGAGAUUCUUGUUGAUUUACAAGAUUAUGACUAUUCUUUGGACUAGUGGAUUCUCGGUUGUAUUUUUGCUGGAAUGGUUGAUUCAAAGAAGUUUGGAAUGCUGGCAAAUUGGCAGCGGGAUUUCACCAUGGAAAACAUAUUGAUGCAGCUGAAGAAGGAAAUGACAGCCUCACACAACCGGAAGCUUGUCCAACCACCCGAAGGUACAUAUUUCUAAUGGGAGGCAACUUUGAAGAUUGUCACUGAUCUGUUGAAACGAUGGAUUGGCAUAGGCUGAAUCUCUUUUAUACAUGUACAAUAUUUCCAUUAUUGACAACUUAAGAUAUUUCCAUUAUGGACAACUGGAGGAAAGAAAGGAAAAGUGGUCCUCAAGCUCUUUAGUGUCACUCUCCUCUAUUGUUUUUCUUUUGGAUGAUUCUUGUUUAAACAUUUCUUAUUGAGAAUUUUAUCCAUGUAUUGAGUGAAAUGCAAUUAAAAUCAGUUAUGGAGUGCUAAUUUCAUGAUACAGCUCAUCCAGAAUUCAUAUUUCUGCAAGAACCAGAACACAUGCUCAACUUAAGUUGCUAGUAGCUGCUGGCAUGUUUAAAUGUUAAAGUUUUUAACAGGUUGAGGACUAGCAAAAGAAAGAUCAAAAGGCCAAUAAAGUACAUUAACUACCGGGAUUAUACACGUGGAGAUAUGUAGGAUGCUAUUGAUAGCGUAUCAAAGGCUUCUCAAAGUAAGAUAUCAAAGGCAUUUUUGCAGCAGCCCCCUAUUCAGGAACUAAUUGGAAGGGAUCUUCAUGAUAUAUAAUGAAUGGAAAUUCAGACAUAUUUCGAGGAGGCUUGCAACAACACUAGAGUAAUUGGUACAUGAAGUAGAUCGAGGAAGAUCCCUGCAAAGUUCAUCUUGAAGUAGCUAGAGGAAAAUAACUAACUUGUAAAGCUUAAUUAUCGAUCUUGUAAAUUUUGGUAGAAGUUUCAUUCAUUUUGUAACAUUUAUGAGGAAAAUUAAAGUGUAACAUUUCCUUUUAUAUAAGCUUCGUUCCUUUUU